GAAGCCCGCCAGGCCGUCGCUGGUGCGAAAGCACUGGAGGAACGUCCGGACUGCACAGGGCAGCGUAGGAGGUAACGCCUCUCCACCGCGAGGUGAGGAUCAGAGCAACAGAGACGAGUCUCGCGGCGCAAGCCGCGGGGGUGAAACGGGCAAUCUCUACGCGCAGCAAUACCAAAUAGGCCAGCGUCGAUGUGGCUCCGCGGAGCUGGCGGGUAGGUAGCACCGAGCCGGGUGGGCGACCCCCGGCCCAGAUGAAUGGCGGUCACGUCCGGGAAACCGGGCGCACAGAAUCCGGCGUAUCGGCGGGCUUCACAU
rnacentral:RNase_P_RNA from 1 species